UAUAACUCCAAAUGUGUUCAUCUGAAAGAGGAAUGUCAGACACGCCUAGGAUGCCCUGAGGGUGAGUAAAUCUUUGGCUAAUUUUCAUUUUUGGGUGAACUAUCCCUUUAAAACCACAAUAAACACACACACUGCAUUUUUCCAAAAACAGAGAAUUUUUCCAAAUGAGAAAAAAUAAGUAUGGAAGAGAGGACUUGGUGGAAACCUGGCACAAUCCAAACAUUAAUUUCAGGAGGAUGAUUCCAACUGUGGUGUCUUUAGCCCUAUUCGGACGGGACUAGUUUUCUAAACUACGUUUGAGUUUCGAUUCUUAUCACCUGAAGUCUGUGAUUUUCAUGUACCAAUUCGGACGGGACUAACAUCUCCAUGUUUAUUACAGAGGUGGAGGGGCUGUUUUGGACAUCUGAGCGUUUCAGAGGUCACGCGCUCUGUUUGCGUGCAUUGCGUGUCAUUCGGAUUGAUUACCAUUAGUAUAACAGUUUUACUACAAAUACCAUGGUGAAGCUAAAUGGCUAGUAUAGCAAAACCAUGUUAAUGUGUGGUUGCUUUAGUUUUACUUUAGUUAUUUAUUUGUAGUAAACCUGUGUUUAAUUUUCAUAAAGGUGCAUAUGUAAUUAAAACAUUAUUUAAUUGAGUGCAGAAAUGAACGCGAGUAAUUUUACCUGACGCAGAUAUUACAAUAGCCAGUCUGAAUGGUUUACGUGAUCUGACUGUUGAUUUUAUUAUUGAUUUACUUAUUUUUUCCUUGCCAGGAGGCAAUUAUAUCAUAUGUGCGCGCGGUAAGAGCGUCUACGGUAAUUCACGUUGGCCAAAACACACAAGGAAACGCGUUGUGAAAAAAAAUCUCCACGGCAAUCACAGACAUCGCAUUCGGACGGGAUUAGUUUUCUCAGAGGAUCACUGAGUUUGCUGAAAAACAGUAGGUAAUUUGCUCUGGAAUUAUUACAGAGGUUGUGUGAGAAAAACACAGACGUGGCAGAUUCGGACGGGAUUAAAAUCACUAAGUACGUCUGUGAAACACACAUUUCUCUAACGACCCCCUGGAAAACUAGUCCGAAUAGGGCUUUUGUGAUGCUGGGAAAUGGAGGGGGAAAGUGGUUUACAUAAACACUGUCUUCACCUUUUCCCAUAUGACACUGUGUCUAUUAAUUUUCAUUGCUGUCCUUCUAGAUGGCGAAACAGUGGUGGAAGAGUUCCCAAAAAAUCCUGACAGCAUUAAUAUAAGGAGAUGAUGUGCCACUACAGGAAAAAUGUGGCCAAUGAAAUUUUGCUGGCAUCAGUGUGAAGAGAGGAGUACUGCUCUGUGUGUGGAGAAAAAGAAAGAGCCCAAACAGAGAAGCAAUGCAUCUGGACUCAAUGUGAAUUAUGCCAGAGGUAGUUUCAUGUUCAGUGCCUCAACAUUAAUCUGCUACCAGAAGAACAAACAGGGUCCAGACAAGAUGUUCCAACUUGCUUUGGAGCAGUCGAUCCAUGCUUUCAAAACCUAUAGAAAUAAAUCAAAUAUGUCAUCAUUAACAUCAACACAGUUCUUGCUCAUUUUGAGGCAAAGAAAUAAAUAAAAAGCAUUAUAAAUUUAAAUUAGACAUUAACUAUGUUCAGGAGAUUACACAUGAUUUCCCAGUUGCAUGUAUUGUUUCAAAAUUACACUUCAUGUACAAGUUCACUAUUUGUCAUUUCCUAAACGUCUCUUCAAACGGCAUAAUUAUAUUGCAGGGUUUUUUUUAUUUUUAUUGUUGCUAAAGGAGCAUUAGAAGGCAUAAUGUGAGUGAUAUUUGUGAUAAAAGUAAUUGUCUCUUUGCACACAAUAAAAAAAAAAGAGAACUUUUUAGACGGUCCCUAUCUUGCUUACCGCUCUUCAUUGGACAUUCAACGGACAUUCGCAAGUAAAUAUGACAUUAAAACAAUACUUGGCUAUUUUGUUCAAUGGUGAAAAAAAGGUAGUAGGUUAAUAAUGAUGUCGCUGAUUAGAAUUUGCAAAAUAAAAUUUUUGCACAUUUAAUUAGAAAGUUAUUGAACGCGGAAAUGUUGUGAAUGUGCGAAUAUAAAACCAACUUUACCCAAGUCAAACGUUACCAGUCGGAGAUGUCAACUAUAAAGCGGAGCAACACAUUUCAACGCACUCAGUGUUUUUCUUCGGAAUGAAUAACUCCUUUUUGCCACAGGAUGGAUCAUCGUUUCUCAGAUAAGAACUUUAAGACAAUUUCUUAAAAUUGGUGUAAAAUCAAGGACUAGGUUUCGAGAUUUGUUGUUUUUUCUUUCUCCUAUAUAAUUAAGAACAUAUUUUCAUUGGUUGAAUAAAUGUGACAAAAGAAAUACUGUUUGCUGAAGUUCAUAUAUUGCUUUAUUUGAUCUUAGUGAAAACCCCUCAUUUGUGGCUAAUCUGAAAAAAAGAAAGAAAGAGAAGUUACAAUCUUGAAAGAAUGUAAACGGAAAGCAAUAACAUUUUAAAUAAAAUAGAACACUAUCUGCUGAAAAUCUACACUUAGAUUCUCAAAUAAUUUGAUUUUGUGAAUUUCUAAGAUUUUAUUUGUAAAGUUUGCUUUAAGAGACACGGGGGAGUGACUUGAUGGCAGAGAUGUCAUUUUACUCUCAGCUGAUUGGUUCAGCAUCUGUUAGCAAUCUGUAAUCCAGAACAAAACCUGCUAUGCAGCAGGUUAGCCAUGCAUUGUAAAUUGCCAUGUCAAUGAACACAGCUAAAAGCCGAUCAACUUUCAUGGAGCCUAAUACCUGGGGUUGAGGCAAACUAAACUAUAACUUACCUGGCUAGCCACCAAAACCAGCUUCAUGGUACAGGCCACCGGUCUUGAAAAAAGUCUUAAGUCUUAAAUUUGAUUUUAAAAACUCUGCAGCAACACUGGAGGAAACAUCUCCAGUUCUUGAGUUGGAGUUUCUAUUUCCACUGAUCUGUGUAUGUUUUGAUUGGCGAUGCAGCGCUGGAAUGUGUUAUUUUGAAUUUUAUGAUAAAUGUUCAUUGUGGUUGUUAUCAGUGUUGUUUAGUGUCCGCAAUUUAUUCUGCAGCUAACGCUCUUUUCCAGGAAAUAAAAAAGCAAAAUAUAUCUCCCAAUGUGAUGGCCUUCUCAGACAUAUUGUUUGUGUGUAUGUAGAACAUGUGUUUUGUCUUUAUCUCUCUCUCUCUUAAUCGCUCUCAGGUGUGGGGUAGAGUUAGGGUUAGGGCCAUCUUGGUCACCAAUGCUCUCAUGCAGAUUCUCUCUGCUGGAGUGGAGAGUUUGUGGUUGUCGCUGUCUGAAUUCCGGAGUUAGCUUUUUUUUUUUUUCAAAUACAGAACGGUCAAUAAAUGUGUCUGUGUUUCCGCUACUCUCGUCUCCCAGCAUCUUUUAUUGCAUUCUAUUUUUAAAGUGUAACACCCAUCCACUG